UUGACGGGGCCGCACAAGCGGAGGAACAUGUGGUUAAUCGAUGAUACGCGAGGAACCUUACCUGGGCUUAAAUGUAGAGUGCAUUUUUUAGAGAUAGAAAUUCCCUUCGGGGCUUUCUGCAAGGUGCUGCAUGGUUGUCGUCAGCUCGUGCCGUGAGGUGUCGGGUUAAGUCCCAUAACGAGCGCAACCCUUAUCGUUAGUUGCCAUCUGGUAAUGCAGGGGACUCUAGCGAAACUGCCACCGUAAGGUGAGAGGAAGUGGGAUGACGUCAAAUCAGCACGGCCCUUAUGUCCAGGGCUACACACGUGUUACAAUGGUCGGUACAGAGGGCAGCUACCUGGCGACAGGAUGCUAAUCUCGAAAACCGGUCUCAGUUCGGAUCGAAGUCUGCAACUCGACUUCGUGAAGCUGGAUUCGCUAGUAAUCGCGCAUCAGCUAUGGCGCGGUGAAUACGUUCCCGGGCCUU
rnacentral:rRNA from 1 species